GAUCAUAGCUCAGGACGAACGCUGGCGGCGUGCCUAACACAUGCAAGUCGAACGGAGAAUUUUAUUUCGGUAGAAUUCUUAGUGGCGAACGGGUGAGUAACGCGUAGGCAACCUACCCUUUAGACGGGGACAACAUUCCGAAAGGAGUGCUAAUACCGGAUGUGAUCAUCUUGCCGCAUGGCAGGAUGAAGAAAGAUGGCCUCUACAAGUAAGCUAUCGCUAAAGGAUGGGCCUGCGU
rnacentral:rRNA from 1 species